AUUCUGUUCUAGUUUGACGAAAAUGGAAAAUACAAGUUUGACAGAGCAGUAGCAGAGAUAAAAGAGAAGGGGCUGGAUGCUGAGAUCCUCGACAAAAUCAAAGUGAAACAUGGAGAGUGCAAAUCCAAGGCUGAGGAGAAGUUCGCAGAAGACUUUAUUGGCCAGGUCCAAUUAUAUCAAGCCUGUAUGGAUUUGGAAAUUUCCACGAUCUGUGGUAUCGUAAUAGUUCCUCCUGAAUCUGAUUAAAGAGGUAUGAGCGUUUACAGUUAAGGAGAGAAAACAUCUCUAACUGGUCCAGAUGGAGAUUGUUGGAAGUUGUUUUUAGUUCUGAAGUUUUGUCAUAUCAAACCGUUAAGCCUUUACCUGUUAGUUGGAUGUAACUUUCGUAAAUCUCUAUUUUAUUAGAUUUUUCUGGAUGUUCUUUAGAAAUUCCAUCUUCUUUUUCUCUCUGUUUAAUAAAACUAUUCUAACUAAA